AGCGGAAAAAGGGACU
rnacentral:tRNA from 2 species